UACGUAGGGUGCGAGCGUUUGUCCGGAAUUAUUGGGCGUAAAGAGCUCGUAGGCGGUUUGUCGCGUCUGCUGUGAAAACUCGGGGGCUUAACCCCGGGCCUGCAGUGGGUACGGGCAGACUAGAGUGCGGUAGGGGAGACUGGAAUUCCUGGUGUAGCGGUGAAAUGCGCAGAUAUCAGGAGGAACACCGGUGGCGAAGGCGGGUCUCUGGGCUGUAACUGACGCUGAGGAGCGAAAGCGUGGGGAGCGAACAGG
rnacentral:rRNA from 1 species